UUGAGCCAUUGCACACCAGCCUGGCGACAGAACAAGACUCCGUCUCAAAAAAAAAAAAUCAGACAUUAGAGACAGGAAGGUUGCUUGAGUUUGAGGAUAUAGUGAGCUACCACAGUGCCACUGCACUCCAUAGUGAGAGUCUGUCUCCAGAAAAAAAAGAGAGACAUCAGUGGGCAAAUUGUUCAUUUAAAAUAUUUUUUAGGAGGUACAAUAGUGUGGUAGUUAGGGGCACGAACUCUGAAGUCAGAUGUGGGCUGAAACUACAGCCUUAGCACUAACCAGCCGUGUGACCUUUUGAACAUCACAUAGCCUCUCUGUGCCUCAGUGUCUUAUCCAUAAAAUACAGAUACUGAAACUUUCCAGUUGUGAUGAUUGAGCAGGAUAGUGUGCAGGAAGAUUGUGCCAUGGUAUCCAGUAGCCACUUAUUUAUACAUAUUUAUACCCUGCCUCAUUCCAUCAUCAUUACCUUUACUAUGAUCAUCCUCCUCAUCACUUUUAUGGUUAACAAACCUCCAGCAUUUAUCAUCAAACUCAGAAACCCUGGGAGAACCACUCGCUGCCUCUCAGGUCAGCAGGGUUAACGAAGGUAUCUGGCUGGAGCAGAGGAUUCUGGGAGUGCCACCUGGGAGAAGGACAAUCUUUACAGUUAAUACUAAGGAUCAGGUGGCUGCCUUGGUGCGUCCUUGAAACAGCAGCAGUUGACACACUCAAGCAUGGUCUGGACAAGAGGACCCUCAGAGAGGAGGUCAGGAGGAUGGCAGGGUCCAGGUUCCAGGAGCAAGCCAAGGCCUGGCCCAUGUAAGGAGAAUGAAGCGAGUUCUGCCCUGGUUCUUGCUCUCCCUCCUGUCCCCUUAUGCUUUGUCUCCUCUUCUGGGUCCCCACCAUGUUCCCGCAGAGGCCCAGUGGAGCAGGCUGAAGGCAGCCUUUUGACUCUGACAGGAGGGAUGUCUCCUAACCCAUUCGGGCUGAGAUCUCAAGGCCUUUAGGUGUUCCCUUUCUGGGGAAAUGUGCACAGUGCCCUCUAUCUGGUUGACUUUCUGCCUCCUUCUUAGAAGGACCCUCGUGAUUCCACUGGGCCCACCCAGAUAAUCCAGAACAAUCUCCCACCUCAAGAUCCUUAAUCACGGCCGGGUGCAGUGGCUCACACCUGUAAUCCCAGCACUUUGGGAGGCCGAGGCAGGUGGAUCACUUGAGGUCAGGAGUUCGAGACCAGCCUGGCCAACAUGGUGAAACUCUGUCUCUACUAAAAAUACAAAGAUUAGCUGGGCGUCGUGGCGCGUGCCUGUAAUCCCAGCUACUUGGGAGGCUGAGGCAGGAGAAUUGUGGAGGUUGCAGUGAGCUGAGAUUGUAGCACUGCACUCCAACCUGGGUGACAGAGUGAGACUUCACCUCAAAAAAAAAAAAAAAAUCCUUAAUCACACCUACAAAGUCCAAGUAACAGAUUCACAGGUUCUAGGAAUUAGGACGUGGAUGUCUUUGGGGGGCCAUUAUUCAGCCUACCACAGAGAGGCACUGCUUAACCCAAAAUAAUAUAUGUGUAAUGGUGGCAUUUCAGACAAUUGUAUCAGGGGGUUUCCUUGUGUCUUGUAUUUGUAUUAUACAAGGCUGGGCCUCCAGGCAGGCUCCAGCACACACAGCUGCCGCCGAUCCUCUCUCACCUCUGCUCUCUUGCUUCAUCUCAAGUCAACCUUCCGCAGCUGAUGACAUUCUUCUGGCAUGGGAGCAGCGCCAGCUGAGGGGCUGCCAGCACCUCCUAUCAGCCCUGACCCUUCCACUCUGGGGGGAGGGAACACACUCUCAGGUCACUGUUGGCCUCCAAGGAUCAACUGAGAAUAAAGCCCAAGUUCUCCAGCCUGGCAUUCAAGGCUCUUCACACUCAGACUCCAGCCUAUUUCUCUGGCCCCACUACAGGCACUUCACAUAAUCUGCACAGAGACUCUAUAACAGUCUCUCAUCAUCAUCUCCAUUUGCCCAACAUCACACAGCUGGCAAGUGGAGCUGGAAUAUGGACCCAGGUCCCCUGGAUGCCAUCCUGCUGUGUCAUGAGCGAUAAGCACAGACUGCUGGAACACAGUCCAUUCACCAAAACUGUGCCUUCCAAACAGUAAGGGUGUCAAUAAUGGGUGGAGGGGAAAGUGUGAAGAGGAACCAGGGCAAGGAACUUGGAAGGUGAGGAUUGCGUAUGCUGGUCUAGAAGCUCUUAUUUCACUCUCAGGACAACCCUCCUGGAAUUAUCAUCUCCGGUUAGAGUUGAGACACCUUCAUUCAUUUCAGCAACUUUAAGGAAUUUACCCAUGGUCAAACAGAAGUCCCUGUCAGAGCCAGCAUUUGACUGCAAAAUCAGCUGGCAGGCAGGCAGCACUGUCCCUCUGCAGAGUGGCACCUACAAAGUCCUCAGUCCCUCGUUUCCACCGCAACCCAGUGCUAGCUCCCUCUCUGAGCACCUGAAAUUACCUUUGCUAAUCAGGACUUUGCAGUUAGGCGUAUUUUUGUAAGACUCCUGUUAGAAUGAAAAUAUGUUACCUGGAAAGAGAAGCAUGUUGGGCGAAUGGUUUCUGACCUCCUAUAGAGUUGGCAAAAUUGUGUGUGUGUACGCAUGAGUGUGUGAUCUGAAGGGCCCAGGUGCCCAAAUACCAUUAGAGACUAACUCCUUUGUCUCCAUCUGCUGAAUCUGCGUGCUGAAUGGGGUGUGUGUGUAGAGGAACUUUCCUAGAAAAAAUAAGGAUGGAAGCCUGGAAUCAGGGAGGGCAGCCUGAUGAUGGGUCACCAUGGGGAAGCUCUUUCAUGAGUGCCCUGGAAGGCAGCACAGGAAAUAACAUGUUAGGAUGGGAGGAGGAUUCCAGAGAAGCAGGCUUUAGGUUGGGUGGUCCACUUGCAUUGCUUUGUCUCCAGGAAAGUUGCUUUCCCCUAACCUGCGACCUGGCUUUCCUUCCCUGUGAAGAGAGGGGUGGAACUAGAGGCUUAUACCCUGCUCCAAGACCCUGCAGCCCAACAAAAGGCCCAUUUUCCCUUUGUUAGUUACUCGAAUGCCAGAGAGAAGGGCUCCCUCUUUUCAUGCUUCCCCAGUCCAGCUGGGGCAGAAUCAUGAGGGCUGCAGAGGACGCUGCUGGGACAAGACCUCCUCUAGGGGGGUCCUGUAUCCCAUGCCUAUUACUGGCCUGCUGGGGCCAGCCUGUCUUCUGACAGCUGUGUCUCCCACCAGCACAGUUAAUUUGCUGCCGUUCCUGGGAUGUGACAGCAACUUGAAGCAAAGCAAUUAGGAUGAAAAAGAGGCCCCAGCUCCUUGAGGCCAAAGGAAAAUAAACAGAGCAGCCCUGUGUGUAUUCCGCCGCCAAGAGGAGCCAUUCUUCAAGGGAUGAUUAGCAUUUCUAAUCCCAGCUUCCUCCCUUCCCUUGAAAGAAAAGUGACCGGUGAGCGGCUGCUCUUUUCAGAUCCCACUCUUCCCAAGGUGGACUGCAAACUUGACAGCUCGUCACCUCCACAGAAAAGUCUUCCCUGGCCACCUGCCACAGCCCUGCCAGAAAUGAUACUCCUGUCCUCUGAAAUCUGAGAGCCUUUCUCUGUACCUUUCCUAUGGAGUUUCCUUGAUUGACUGAUCAAUUCAUUAAUGCAUUCUUUCAACAAACAUCCGUUGAGUGCCAUUCAUUCAUUCAACAAAUAUUUCUUAAGUCCCUACUAAAUAAAUCAUCUCUUAAGCUGCCUACUA
rnacentral:lncRNA from 1 species